rnacentral:rRNA from 1 species
AUUGCACGCUGGCGGCAGGCCUAACACAUGCAAGUCGAACGAAUGGCGGACGGGUGAGUAAUGUCUGGGAAACUGCCUGAUGGAGAUGGAUAACUACUGGAAACGGUAGAUAAUAACGAAUACAAUCAGAUGUGCCCAGAUGGGAUUAGCUGGUUGGUGGUGUAACUGCUCACCACGGCGACGAUCCCUAGCUGGUCUGAGAGGAUGACCAGCCACACUGGAACUGCGACACGGUCCAGACUCCUACGGUAGGCAGCAGUGGUGAAUAUUGCACAAUGGGCUCAAGCCUGAUGCAGCCAUGCCGCGUGUAUGAAGAAGGCCUUCGGGUUGUAAAGUACUUUCAGCGGGGAGGCGUUACCCGCAGAAGAAGCACCGGCUAACUCCGUGCCAGCAGCCGCGGUAAUAC